UACGGAGGGUGCAAGCGUUAUCCGGAUUCACUGGGUUUAAAGGGUGCGUAGGAGGGCAGGUAAGUCAGUGGUGAAAUCUCCAAGCUUAACUUGGAAACUGCCGUUGAUACUAUCUGUCUUGAAUACAGUGGAGGUAGGCGGAAUGCGUCAUGUAGCGGUGAAAUGCUUAGAUAUGACGCAGAACACCAAUUGCGAAGGCAGCUUGCUACACUGUUAUUGACACUGAGGCACGAAAGCGUGGGGAUCAAACAGG
rnacentral:rRNA from 1 species